UUCAAGGUGAGUGAUUUUUAAGUAAUUAAGCCUAUUAUCUUCUAAACCUAUUUCGAUUAAACCUUAUUUCCUUCACUUGCAGUGCCGCCGCACCAUCUUCUUUUGCGACCUUCUGCCGCGCUGAUACCACCUGUUAGCAACCCGUUUCCACCAUCGCCAUCUAAUCUAAACUUUAACAAACAUCAAUAUCUAUAAAUCUAAUUAAACUUCUGCCUCCAUCAACUUUGAUGUUGCUUCUGCUGUUUGAAACGAAGAACAUAGCUUUCGGUGCUGGAAUCGAAGAACAGAGUUGCAUCAUCUAAUUCAUUGAUUCGGCGGUUACUGGAAACGAAGAACAAUCCGCCGUUAACGGGAAUGAACGGAUAACAGCACCGUCGCUGCGCGCCAAUCGUUAUCCUUCAAUUUUUCUUUGUUUAAAGCUUCACUUGACGAUGGCACCAACAAUUCGACGGCGGCAGGUGUGGUGAAGGUUUGUUUAAUGGCGGCAGCAAGAAAACCCCUAUGAAAGAAUGAGGAAGAAGAUGAAGUUGGUUAGGUUAGAUUUUGGAAGAUUGGUGGAGGCCACGGAGGAGAAGAGAAGACCGACGCCAGUGAAGUUUUAGUUUUUUAGGUUAAUUGGUUUUCUUGUGCUAAUUAGGUUUAUUAGGGCUAAUUUUGGUUAAUUGUGGGUUUCAUUCAUAAGGAUUAAUUGGAAUUAGAAUUAGGUUUAAGUAUGAUUAAUUAGGAUUAAGUAUGAUUAUUUAGGUUAGAAAAUCAAUUCCACUCUCUUUUUAUGUCAGAAGGAUGUUUUUGACUGAUUUUCGCAACUAUUGGUGUUUUUCGACCCCAACUCACGAACUUGGACAUAUUUGAUACUUCGUGCCAAAUUGAGGGGGUUUUUUGAUCCUUUUUUCGUUAAUGAUGUAUUUAAUCAAAUAA